rnacentral:rRNA from 1 species
UACGUAGGGUGCAAGCGUUAAUCGGAAUUACUGGGCGUAAAGCGUGCGCAGGCGGUGAUGUAAGACAGAUGUGAAAUCCCCGGGCUCAACCUGGGAACUGCAUUUGUGACUGCAUCGCUGGAGUGCGGGAGAGGGGGAUGGAAUUCCGCGUGUAGCAGUGAAAUGCGUAGAUAUGCGGAGGAACACCGAUGGCGAAGGCAAUCCCCUGGGCCUGCACUGACGCUCAGGCACGAAAGCGUGGGGAGCAAACAGG